AACGUGCCCAGUAGCGGGGGAUAACUACUCGAAAGAGUGGCUAAUACCGCAUACGCCCUACGGGGGAAGGGGGGGGAUUCUUCGGAACCUCUCACUAUUGGAGCGGCCGAUAUCGGAUUAGCUAGUUGGGGGGGUAAAGGCUCACCAAGGCAACGAUCCGUAGCUGGUUUGAGAGGACCACCAGCCACACUGGGACUGAGACACGGCCCACACUCCUACGGGAGGCAGCAGUGGGGAAUUUUGGACAAUGGGGGAAACCCUGAUCCACCCCUCCCGCGUGUAUGAUGAAGGCCUUCGGGUUGUAAAGUAUUUUUGGCAGAGAAAAAAAGGUAUCUCCUAAUACGAGAUACUGCUGACGGUAUCUGCAAAAUAAGCACCGGCUAACUACGUGCCAGCAGCCGCGGUAAUACGUAGGGUGCAAGCGUUAAUCGGAAUUACUGGGCGUAAAGCGUGUGUAGGCGGUUCGGAAAGAAAGAUGUGAAAUCCCGGGGCUCAACCUUGGAACUGUAUUUUUAACUGCCGAGCUAGAGUAUGUCAGAGGGGGGUAGAAUUCCACGUGUAGCAGUGAAGUGCGUAUAUAUGUGGAGGAAUACCGAUGGCGAAGGCCGCCCCCUGGGAUAAUACUGACGCUCACACACGAAAGCGUGGGGAGCAAACAGGAUUAUAUACCCUGGUAGUCCACGCCCUAAACGAUGUCAACUAGCUGGUGGGGCCGUUAGGUCUUAAUAGCGCAGCUAACGCGUGAAGUUGACCGCCUGGGGGAGUACGGUCGCAAGAUUAAAUCUCAAAGGAAUUGACGGGGACCCCGCACAGCGGGUGGGAUGAUGUGGAUUUAUUUCGAUGCAACGCGAAAAACCUUUACCCUACCCCUUGACAUGUCUGGAAUGCCAAAAGAGAUUUUGGCCAGCGCCUCGCAAGAAAA
rnacentral:rRNA from 1 species